GGUGAAACCAACUCAUGCACCAACGAAGACCCCUUCCCCUUGAGCAGCUGUCUUGAUUGGUGGAGAGCUAGUGAAUUUCCUCUGGAAGGACAGUAGCCUGGCGACGUGACGAACCGACGAAGCCACUUCCGAUGUUGCUCCCGCUUGGAGGGCCACGUCCAAUACUGCAAGGGUGUCUUUGUCCCUUCGCAGUGCGCACUGUAACUCCGUCAAACGAAUGCUAAACUGCUGGACGGCUUGCAGAGCGCACAAUUGUUGAUUGCCCCUGAAAAGUAAAGUGUUAACGCCGACUUACCAGAGUCUUUUUACGCAGCCUGCUCUUCUUCCUACGCAACGAGCUGUUCCGAACCACGCGGCCAUCGUGACAGAUGAUCGACUCCUCCAUCAACGUGGACGUCGAAUUGUUGAAUGAUUUGCGUGAUCCUCUACAAUACAGAACAAGGGAAAUCGCAACGUUCCAGUCGAAGUACCAAAGCCCAAGUUUACGAUAUUUAACGCGAUACAUUCUUCUGAAUUCUGUGCGACUCUAAUUUAAUAAAUCGUUAUUAAUCCUACGAAUUUCAUGUAUUAUAAUUUUACUCUAAUUCUAUACAUUGUACAUUUAAU